CCGCCAUGGGAGCUGCGGGGCGCUGGUAGUACGCGUGCGCUGGAGCUUGCUCGUCCUUGCCGCGCCGCCAGAGAAAGCCUGAGGCGACAAGUCGCAGAGGUCGGCUAGGGACCGAAACGCGCAUGUGAUUGGUGGGCGUCCCCAGUCUCCACAUUUCCAGAAGUGGAGUCCAAGUGGUACAUGGAAAGUUCCUAGAGCUUACUGCCAAGCGAGUCACACAGGCCUGCCCAUGGAGAGUUCCCAGAGCCCGGCCAAGUGAUUUCACAGCCAAUGGGAAACGCCUGGAUAGUUGAGCCAGUCUCAAAAAGGGGCUGCACAUGCCUCACCAGUCCCUGUCUUCUGGGAUUGCCACUCUGGUCCCCAGAACAGAGUCCUUUUGCCACACCAGCUCAUCCUCCAAGGCUCCACUAGGACCUUGCCUGAAAAGAGCCAGGACACUGGGGGAGUGGACUGCCUUGUGGAGGAGGCCAGCCCCUACCCACUCCUACCAGAUGUCAGCCUAACCUGACUUCAUGCUCAGCUCCACAACAGGGAACUGCUUCUCAGCUGCCUCUGCCACAGAGAGUCUCUGCACACCCACCCCAGCCCUCUUGAACACCACCAUUAAAAUUAGAUGCCCUCAUCACCACUGAUUUGACCUUGUCAAUACGACCGUGUCUCCUGGUGCCAGUAGAUACUUUCUGUCCCCCAAGCCUUUUUUUUUCUUUUAACAUGUAGGGGUCUGCUCAGGGAGGACGCAGUGCUGUGCCCCUCAUUAUGGUGGCCCCGAAUUCUUCUUGGGUGUGUUGUAAACAGAAGCCAUUCCUCAGGCCCUCACCCACUGGUACCUCCUGUCCCCUUUGCAGUUUAUCUGACAUCAAUGGGCCCCCCCGGGUGUCUUGCCUACCUCAGUAUUCUAUUUCAGAAUGUUGUCUGAGGAUCUUCCUGACUCAUUGAGGGAAAUCCUCUUCCCAAACAUGAUCUGAAUCCAGGACCAACUGGACUCCACGGGAGGACUGGCUUUCUAAAAUUGCAGAGGCCUGGAUCUCACCAAGACAGAAAAGGGUGACCUCUGCCUAGCCCUGCAGGAAGAAUGCUGCUUGCAUCACAGUCAGUAGGGAUGGAGCACCUGAGCUAAAGGAGAGGCAGGAAUGAUGAGCAACUCCAUAGCCAGCUGUCUUCCUGGAACUACCCUGACUCAGAUCUUCCCUAGCUCCUGCCACAAAUAGGAAUAGGUCCUUUUGCUAUAAUAAUUUUGUUCCUGCUCUUUGGGCAAUGCCUUUCUCCAACUGCAUGCAGGCAUUCCACCACAAAGUGAUGGGGGAGGGGAGAGGUGAGUGUUGAUCUUCACAACCAAAGGACUCUGUCAUUCCUUAGCCUUCCCUGCCCUGUACUAUAUCCAGGGUCCACAGGAAAUAGCCAGAGAAAACUGUUCCUAUUCCAUGUGACUAAAAAGGCAUGGAUGACAGAGCUUAAUAUCAGAGACACCAUCUUAGUCUGCUGACUGAGGUGUGUGUCUCAGUUCUUCAGAUAGACAUGCAUCUCUAGGAAACACAAAACCUAUCAUCUUCCAAACAGCUCUGCGCCAGGUUGGAUCAUACUCCCUUGCCCUUACUUGGAAAUGUUUCACCUGUAGCCAACCAGGGCCCGAGCAGCUAACCUGAAGCUUGCCCCUGUUCUACCCCCAUAAUGCUCCCUUCUGUAACUCUCUAGGACUGUAUGCUGCAUCCAGUGGACUUAAUAAAAGCCUGUCAGUGCCUAGUCGGUUACUCUGGGAGUAGUUUUCUUAUAAAGUUGUAUUUUUUUUUUUUAAUCAGUGAUGACUUAGAAGCAGAUUGAGUCCCACAGUUACCUUGCUCAGAAUGGGGUCCACAAUUGUCCAUUUCAUGUAUGUACGUGUGUAUAUAAAGACACACCUUUGGUUUGCCUUAAAACAAACCUCAAGGCAUUAGGUCUAAGUGACCUUUGGCACACCUGCCAACUGAGGUCUGGGCCUAAUACAGAGUGGACAAUGAAAAUACAUGGCCUAGAUGCAAUAUUCUCAGUUUUCAAGUUCUCACAGACUGGGGCAGCUUCAUGGCCAGCGCCAUAAGUGGUCUGGAGGUCCUUGUGUAGGGGUUUGCUUUAGCUCAGGACGUCUUUCCUUCUGCCCCAAAAGCUCUAUGUAUCAAAUCCUUCUCCUUGGCUCCCCUCCUAUCCCCCAAAAUGUCCAGUCCUCUUUCACUCUCUCUGACUUUAACCCCACUAAUGAACGCCCACUUUAUCCAAUCCACUGACUAUCCAGUGCACCCCAGCUCCACCUAUCUCACCCAGUGUACCCCUAAAUCAACUCCCUGACCCAACCGUCUCCCCCUCACCAACUGCCUGAACACUACUCCCCUGACUUCCCUGUCUCAGGCUCCCCCAUGUUCCAUCCUCCCCCUCCCUGCCCCUCCCCUCCUUUUGCUCAGUCUCACAAACACCCUUCCCAAAAUCCCCCAGCCCACACAGUUCCCCUGAGAGGUUAUAGGCCCAAGGGUCCAAUCAAGGCUCACAUCCUGUUCUCCCUUUCAGGCAGGGGCUAAAUCCAAACAACGUGGGCACCCCUUUUCGAAAACUCUGUAAAAUAGAGAAAAGAAGUCCUAUGUCUCACCAGAUUUAUCACUUAGCUGGAGAAAUGCAACAUCCUCACCACGACCCUGACUCCCGAUGAAAAGGCAAAGUACCCGCCAUCAGCUCUAGCCCAUGUUGAUCACCCCCAUGAAUAAAAUUUAGCCACCAGCCCAGCAGCAGCCACAGUGGUCCCUGCUGCCUGGCCUGCCUAUCAACCUGGUGAGCUUGGGAAUACUAAGGCUCAGUCAGGAUAACCUCUUAAUAACCAGACACACAGAUCCUCUGGAGUAAGCAGUUUCAGUCCCCAUCAGUGACCUCUGCUCAAUCUACACCUUCCCUCUCACAACCAAAGAGAGCCUCCAACUUCUGCCCAUCCCAGCCGGGCUAGGCAUCUCUCCUGCCUUGGGAACAGGCAUCUCAGAUGUAUCCACCAAUGGCAACCACUCUCAACAAAUGCCAAUGGCCAAAAAAAAAUCCCCUCGCAAGGGUCCUCUCCAAAACAGACCUCCCUAUACAUGCCAGUGGCAGAAAAGUGGGGGACAUGCCUUCUCCAAGAAGACUACUGCUUCUAUAUCAACCAAUUAGGGAUCCUCUGAGACACUCCCCCAAACCCCCACCCCCAAAAAUUCUGAAACAAGAGGAACCUGGUCGGCUGUAGGAAAGUGGCUACCCUGGCUGGCCCUUCUCUUCCAUACAUUAUUUCAUCUUUACUCACUACAGGACCCGGUCUAACUGACUUUGUUUGUUUUGGUGUUUCCAGACAGGGUUUGUCUGUGCAGCCCUGGGUGUCCUGGGAUUCACUCUGUCAACCAGGCUGGCCUCGAACUCUAAUUGACUACUUUCAGAGAUGACUCCAGGAGCCCAUGACUGCCAUCAGAUGAUUCCCUCACAAUCAAGUCAACACCGUCCACUUGCUACAUAAAGUCAAUUUGACCUUUACCCCUUUAAUCUUUGAGGACAGCCCUUGAGCCCUCCCCCAACCUCCCAAGAAGAAGUAGCUUUAAUUCUUCACCUCUUAAUGGGUUUUCAUUUGCUCACUUACUAAAGUCACUGCACAGCUGGGCCAGGCUGUCUAGACCAUGGGGACUAGAGUAGAAAAAGAAGCUGACAAACGGGGACAUAGGCAAGAAGAAAACACUCUGUGGUCGGAGUAUCGAACUCUUACAUCUGGUAGAUGUUUGUCUCUCAUUACAUGGUCACAGGGGUCUCAAGUGGGAACAUCUGGGCUGAGGCCAUUACAGGAAGAGAGGUACUGGGAUAUCAGAGGAAGAAGUGUGGGCAGAGGAGCAGUGAGUGUAAAACUCUGAGGCUGGACAGGUGUGGUGGCAUGCACCUUAGCUCCAGCACUUGGAAGGCAGAGGCAGGAGAAUCUCUUGAGUUCCAGGGUAGCCAGCGUGGCAUAGUGAUAUGCUGUCUUAAAAAAAUAAAACCAAAAAGGCAGGUAGAUCUCUGUUAGUUCAAGGCUAACCUGGUCUACAAAGUGAGUCCAGGACAGCCAGUGCUACACAGAGAAACCCUCUCUUGAAGAGAGAGGGAGAGUUACAAAGAUGGCUCAGAGGUUAAGAGCACUGGCUGCUUUUCCAGAGGUCCAGGGUUCAAUUUCCAGGACCCACAUGGCAGCUCACAGCCAUCUAUUCCUCAAGUUCCAGGGGAUCCACCGCCUUUACACAGGUGUACAUGCAGGCAAAACACUAAUGCACAUGAAAAAUAAAAAGGAAUCAUCAAAAAAAUGUGAAAGAAUAUAAGCAGUUGUGUUCAAGGAGCAUCAAAGGACAAAGAACAGGGGCAAAAUAUUAGCUCAUCCAUUGACUGUUAGCCAGGCCAUCCACUAUUAGCGUGUCCACUGACUGCCGGUCCCUCCAUUGACCAUCAAGCGCCACAAAAUAUUAGCGUUCCUGAUGUUUGGUGGCUGGAUGCCUCUUAGGAAGGAGGGAACACACUGCUUACUGGCUGGAGGACAAGGAGGGAGGAGGACAAUGUCUCUGGCUGUCUUGCUCGGGUCACCAGGGUUCUUUCAGGUCAUAGGCUUCUUUUCAGGGAGCAGUUAAGUUCUGCUCUGGGGACUUUCAGCUUGUGAUGACAUACACAGGCCACAGGAUAGGCCGGUUUCCUCUGGGCACGUCCUUAGAGAACUGGCUUCUGCAUACAUUAGUGGGUCCUGAGGGCCAGCACUCAGUGACUAGAGGAGUUGUAAUCAGGCCCUAAAGUGAUUUCUCCAGGGCAGUGUUGUGGUUAGAGCAGAGGGAGGAGAGGGAAAGGGUUAGAUUGAAGAUGCAAGAGCUGCACCACCACAGGAUUUUGGGGUCUUAUUCUAAGGCACAGGAAGGUUUUUGUUUUUGUUUUUUUAAGAUUUAUUUAUUAUGUAUAUAAUGUUCUGUCUGCAGGUACACCUACAAGCCAGAAGAGGGCACCAGAUCUCAUUAUAGAUGGUUGUGAGCCACCAUGUGGUUGCUGGGAGUUGAACUCAGGACCUCUGGAAGAGCAGCCAGUGCUCUUAACCUCUGAGCCCUCUCUCCAGCCCCCACAGGAAGGUUUUUAACUAGAGAGUAAUUAAAAUUUAUGUGAGCUGUAUGUGUGCACGUACAUGUGUGUGAAUGUUCAGACUCCAGCACAUAUCUGUGGGUGCCAGGGUAUUGGGUAAUCUUUUUGUAUAUCUUGUAAAGAUUAUCUCUUGUUGUGGCUAUAAACAUGUCUUUGUUUUAAUCUCAGGUGUGGGAUGUGGGACUUAUUCAGAUAGUCCACAGCAGCAAACUAUUUGCCUCAUGCAAGCUCUGAGAGGAGCUCUUUGCCAACUGUAGAUAGUCUAGAUCUGAGGACUCUGGAGAGAGAAGAAAUGUCAGAGCCAAGAGAAUGUUGGGGAGCUCUGAGAAAGAACAAGGCUGUUGCUGCCCACCCUCUGAGGCUUCUGGUUGCUGUUGAUGCAGUGAGACAAGAAAUUGGAGAUCUCCUGAACUGAGGAUUGGAUUGUCUCCAAGGAACUCAAUGACCCUAACUAGCAGGAAGCAGCUAAGAGAACAGUGCCCCCUCUCCCACCAACCCUUUCUUUCUCCUACCUGAUGUUGGGGUAUUGGAAGGAAUUGAGGUGGAGAAGGGAGAAAGAGAUUUUUAAAAUGUAAAUAAGAGUUGUUUUUUUUUAAUAAAGUAUACCAACA